CACUGUACAACACUGGCAAUACACUGUAGAACUGGCCUACAACACUGGCAGCGGCCGGACGGCAGACUUGAAUGCGUCUAGGUUCGGGGCUGUCACUACUGCGGUGGGAAAGGAGUUCCAGAUAGAUGCUAUCCUGGGGGAAAACUAGCGUUAACAUGCGUUACGUGAGGAUUGUGGAGGGAUGCAGUUUUGAGAGUUGCUUUGUCUGGUUGAUCUGACUAUGGAACGGUCUAGUAGAUAUAAAGCUGGUACGGCAAUAAGACCAUAAACAACUCUGUAGAAUAGCACCAAGUCAAAUCAUUGCCUACUUUGUUGCAAAGUCUGCAAAUUGAGUUCAUUGAUGAUUGAUGUUACACUAUCUGGCUGGCAUGGGUUGAAAGGCCACGAAUCUGGCAGAAUUACGUUGUACUUGUUUGAUUUGUUUCAGGUGAGUUGUUUGUUUCUGAGUAGGAUUCCAGAUGGGUGAAUACUAUUCCAACUUUGGUCUAACUAAUAAUUGACAAACUCGGUCUUUAACUAGUUUGGGGCAUUUGUCAAGGGUUCGUUUAAAAAAAAAAGUUUGUAAAGCCUUUCCAGUUAUUUAUUCGAUAUGAGUGUCAAAUUUUAAGUUGUCGUUAAAUUCAACGCCUAAAUAUGCAUUAUGGUCUACAGAUUCUAAAGUUUCACCACUCAUUGUAUAAGCAUAACGUUGUUUAAUUGUUGGAUGUGUUGAAGAUAUUCAUUAUUGCACAUUUUUUUCACAUUGAAAUCCAUCUGCCAUGACUUACUCCAUUCUACAAGUUUAUCAAAAUCUUGCUGAAGUUUCUGUUGAUCGGCUGGAUAUUUAAUUACACGAUAGAUUACACAGUCAUCUGCGAAUAGUCGUACUACAGACGAAAUACUACUCGUACAACAAUGACACUUACUGAGAAUACAUGUAAAAAAAUGAAAAUCAUUGCUGACUUCGUUUGUAUUGACGGAAACCGACCCUCUCCAGAUGGAUAAAAUAAGUUUUAACAAUAAAUGUGGAAAAAGUCUCCCACAUUCGAAUGGCAGUAUGAUCUAUUAGUUGAUAGUGACCAUCAAGUGGUAGAAGUAAAAGGAGCGGAAGUAGUUGAGGACAUCAUUUGACGUCUCUUUCGUCGAACCGCGCUAUACAUAAUAAUGUUCACUUGUUCCCGAUAUAUUUCGCGCCAAAAGGCUUUUUCAAACUUUGUUUUCUACAAAUUCACUACAUGAUCUUCGUGCUACUCAACAACAAAAAUGUAUAUUGACGUCAAAAAACAAAUAAACAGGAAAUGACGUCAUAACGUCUUGACGCAAAUUAGCGCAAUGUUUCAAAUACGACGUCGUAUCCUGGAAGUAAAGAUCUGUUUGUCAAAGCGAUCAUUAGAGCUCACGAAAAAAAACGGAGAUUUUCCCGAAAUGAUGGAGUCAAGCAACGAAACAAAGGUUAGGAAUGACAUCUGGAGGCGUAUUUCUCGAGGCAUGAGAGGAGAAAAAGUCAGCGAGUUAGCGGAACGGUCAAUAAAGAUGUUUUCGCUUUUAGCUACCUGUGUAAGACCCGCACGGUCCAAGGACCCCGACGUGUAUAUAUGCUCUCCAAUAACGUGGGAGAAGUCCAGCAAACUUCCCAUCUACAGAGGGCCCCAAAUCACCGUUCCUUGGACGGGUCCAGUGUGUAAUACCCCACAUCUCGGUACCUCACAAACGCCGAGCUGAAGGCUCAAGUGAACCUUCUAGAACUCAGGUUCCGGAAGCAGUCAGAGAUACUGGAAAAGCACGGGCGUCGGACCUCUGUGCCGCAAAAGAUCAAUAUACCGUAUUUUAACGAAGAGAAAGUUUCGGAAAUGGCCGAUCUCGUCGAGAAAAUCAAACUGCGCUGAUACAGACGGGAUUGAGGAAUAGAUGGUGUGUCCUCACGUGGAAACCAGAAACUGGCGCUGAACUUUUAUAAUUUGUAUAACUAGUUUUUUUAUUAUAAUUAUUAAUUGUGAUUUAGUUUGGGAAAUAUUUAUUUCAUACCAUUUUAUUUGCAAGAAGUAUUUCAUGAUUUUGAA